AACACCAGUGUGAAGUUGUGCUGGAGACCUUUGUGCUUCUGCUUGGACACGCUGCUGCAUGUGUGUGGAUAUGCACUUCUUAAUAAAUGCACAAGGGUACAGUAUGAAGAGCUGUUUUUGAGAAGCUGAGCCAAUCUUGCUUAAGCAGACGCACUGGCUUAAGCUUAAUUUGGUGUAGGGAGCAGAUGCUGUACAGCAAAAGGGCAUGGAACAGAAAGGAGACUCACCAGGUGCUCCUUUCUUCCUCAACUGUUCCUGAAAAACAAAUUGACAAAAGGAAUCAAAACAAGUCUCCAAAUUAGAUUCUUCUGUACUUGGAGGGGCAAUGGCUGGACUGGUAUGGGGUGCUGAGGAUGUCAGUGCUUGUCUUUGGACUGACAUUCCAGAUGAGAGACGACUCCUGCCAUAUUUCCUUCUAAUCAUCUACAUUUUAUACCUGGGACCUAAGGAGUUGGACAGAUCUGUUUGAAAUGGAAACUCCAUAAAGUUAUGUCGCAGCUUCCUGGGACAAAAAUGGAUCUCUUUGGACCUUUCCAUCAGAAAUUCCAUCAAGCCCCAAAUCUUUUGAUGUACUGUGGCUGAGCUGUCACAAGACCCAGUAGCACUGCAGGUGACAUGAAUUCAGAGUCUGAAUCAUGCCAUGAGUUCUGUACUUCAAGGAUCUUCAGCCAGGACAGAAAAGGAAGAGGGGGAAAUGUAUCAAAGAUCAAGGGAGACAAAAAACCCUGCAGUUUUUCAAAUGGGGUUGAUUCAAG